GCAUCGGUGGUUCAGUGGUAGAAUGCUCGCCUGCCACGGAGGGCAGCCCGGGUUCGAUUCCCGGCCGAUGCA
rnacentral:tRNA from 1 species